rnacentral:rRNA from 1 species
AGAUGGGGAUNACGGCUGGAAACGGUCGCUAAUANCNAAUACGCUCCCGAUUNNUCGUNGGGGGGAAAGAUGGCCUCUGCUUGCAAGCUAUCGCUUAAGGAUGANUCCGCGUCCCNNNGCUAGNGGGCGGGGUAACGGCCCACCANGGCGACGAUGGGUAGCCGGUCUGAGAGGAUGACCGGCCACACUGGAACUGGAACACGGUCCAGACUCCUACGGGAGGCAGCAGUGGGGAAUAUUGCGCAAUGGGCGAAAGCCUGACGCAGCGACGCCGCGUGAGGGAUGAAGGUUCUCGGAUCGUAAACCUCUGUCAGGGGGGAAGAAACCCCCUCGUGUGAAUAAUGCGAGGGCUUGACGGUACCCCCAAAGGAAGCACCGGCUAACUCCGUGCCAGCAGCCGCGGUAAUACGGAGGGUGCAAGCGUUAAUCGGAAUCACUGGGCGUAAAGCGCACGUAGGCGGCUUGGUAAGUCAGGGGUGAAAUCCCACAGCCCAACUGUGGAACUGCCUUUGAUACUGCCAGGCUUGAGUACCGGAGAGGGUGGCGGAAUUCCAGGUGUAGGAGUGAAAUCCGUAGAUAUCUGGAGGAACACCGGUGGCGAAGGCGGCCACCUGGACGGUAACUGACGCUGAGGUGCGAAAGCGUGGGUAGCAAACAGGAUUAGAUACCCUGGUAGUCCACGCUGUAAACGAUGGGUGCUGGGUGCUGGGAUGUAUGUCUCGGUGCCGUAGCUAACGCGAUAAGCACCCCGCCUGGGGAGUACGGUCGCAAGGCUGAAACUCAAAGAAAUUGACGGGGGCCCGCACAAGCGGUGGAGUAUGUGGUUUAAUUCGAUGCAACGCGAAGAACCUUACCCAGGCUUGACAUCUAGGGAACCCUUCGGAAAUGAAGGGGUGCCCUUCGGGGAGCCCUAAGACAGGUGCUGCAUAAUCACUAGUGAAUUCGCGGCCGCCUGCAGGUCGACCAUAUGGGAGAGCUCCC